UGCUGAAUCCUAAUAAAAUAUGUGAAUAUACUGUUGCAAACCACCCCAAUCUCCAAGUGGUGCAAGAUUCCAGAGGUGGCAGGCACAGUUACCCAAGCAAAGCUGUGGCAGCAGCUGAUGGCAGCUGAUUCCAUUUCUGAGAUGCUUGAAGGAUUUCUGGAGAAGUCGGAUCAGAUCUGGAUCUAAAGAAAACAGAUGAAUAGACUGGAAGCUCCUGCGGUAUAAGAGACCUGGCUCUUGAGAUGGAUUUAUAUCAAAGAUUAAAGAAUUCACUAGACCAUUUGAAGCAAAAGGGAAUGGCUUAUACUUCAGUGAGAAUCUCACCACUGAGCUGUUCAACUGUUGCCUUUUGUCCCUCGUUACAAUGUCGUACGGUAAACACUGAUGUGAAUCGGGAAUCAGUUUACUGGUAAUGUUGACAGAGAUUGGGGGGGGGGGAACCCACAUAAAGAUUAAAGAAUUGGUUCUUAAGAGCUUAAAACAACUUAACACAGACAAAGCAGCAUCUAGCCCAGGUGGAAAGAAUCCAUGAACUGCAGGCCACAAUAAGGGAAGGAAGCAAAGAUGUAGCUUACAGUGUGCUUUCUUUUUUGCAUUCACUUGGUUCAGGAAUUUAGAAGGCUCCAAGUUGAAGG